rnacentral:rRNA from 1 species
CUACGGGUUGCUGCAGUGAGGAAUAUUGCACAAUGGGGGAAACCCUGAUGCAGCAACGCCGCGUGGAGGAUGACGCAUUUCGGUGUGUAAACUCCUUUUAUCAGAGAAGAAAAUGACGGUAUCUGAUGAAUAAGCUCCGGCUAGACUCCGUGCCAGCAGCCGCGGUAAUACGGAGGGAGCAAGCGUUAUUCGGAAUCACUGGGCGUAAAGGACGCGUAGGCGGGUUUUUAAGUCAGGUGUGAAAUCCUAUGGCUCAACCAUAGAACUGCACUUGAAACUGGGGACCUAGAGUAUGGAAGGGGCAGGUGGAAUUAGUGGUGUAGGGGUAAAAUCCGUAGAUAUCACUAGGAAUACCGAAAGCGAAGGCGACCUGCUGGGACAUUACUGACGCUGAGGCGUGAAAGCGUGGGGAGCAAACAGGAUUAGAUACCCGCGUAGUC